GACGAACGCUGGCGGCGUGCUUAACACAUGCAAGUCGAGCGGUAAGGCCCUUUCGGGGGUACACGAGCGGCGAACGGGUGAGUAACACGUGGGUGACCUGCCCUCAGCUCUGGGAUAAGCCUGGGAAACCGGGUCUAAUACCGGAUAUGACUCCAUGACGCAUGUUGUGGGGUGGAAAGCCUUGUGCGGCUGAGGAUGGGCCCGCGGCCUAUCAGCUUGUUGGUGGGGUGANGGCCUACCAAGGCGACGACGGGUAGCCGGCCUGAGAGGGCGACCGGCCACACUGGGACUGAGACACGGCCCAGACUCCUACGGGGAGGCAGCAGUGGGGAAUCUUGCGCAAUGGGCGAAAGCCUGACGCAGCGACGCCGCGUGAGGGAUGACGGCCU
rnacentral:rRNA from 1 species